rnacentral:tRNA from 1 species
CAAAAAGUAGUAUAUAAAUUACAACCUGCUUACACCAAGUAAUAGGCCUCUGGCCCUUUUUGA